rnacentral:rRNA from 1 species
UACGUAGGUGGCAAGCGUUGUCCGGAUUUACUGGGCGUAAAGAGCGCGCAGGCGGUCGUUCAAGUCGCGUGUGAAAGCCCCCGGCUCAACUGGGGAGGGUCACGCGAUACUGAUCGACUCGAAGGCAGGAGAGGGUAGUGGAAUUCCCGGUGUAGUGGUGAAAAUGCGCAGAUAUCAGGAGGAACACCGGUGGCGAAGGCGGAUCUCUGGGCCUUACCUGACGCUGAGGCGCGAAAAGCGUGGGGAGCAAACGGG